rnacentral:lncRNA from 1 species
AUUCUCUGGAAGGAUAUUACGCUUCCCAGUCAAUGGACUUUACCAAAUGAAAUACCUCAACAGCCUAUAGUUAACAAUCUAUUGAAUAUAGAAAACAUUAGGCAAUUUUCUGAUGGAACGGUCAAAAUAAGUUUCGAACGUACCAGAAGACCAGUCAUUAUUGAAGAUUUCACUAGUUCUUCAGCACCUUCAUUUCACACUCGAAGAGAUACUGAAGUACUUAGUAAUCCUUCAGUUAGAGAUGUUAAACUAAAA